rnacentral:rRNA from 1 species
CCUACGGGUGGCAGCAGUGAGGAAUAUUGGUCAAUGGCCGGAAGGCUGAACCAGCCAUGCCGCGUGAAGGUCAGUGCCCUAUGGGCGUUAAACUUCUUUUGUGCGGGAGCAAUAAUGGUCACGUGUGGCCAGACGAGAGUACCGUACGCAUAAGCAUCGGCUAACUCCGUGCCAGCAGCCGCGGUAAUACGGGGGAUGCAAGCGUUGUCCGGGUUUAUUGGGUUUAAAGGGUACGUAGGCGGUGAGGUAAGUGAGCGGUGAAAUGCCCCCGCUCAACGGGGUGAAGUGCCAUUGAUACUGCCUGGCUGGAAUGCGGAUGCCGUGGGAGGAAUGUGUGGUGUAGCGGUGAAAUGCAUAGAUAUCACACAGAACACCGAUUGCGAAGGCAUCUCACGAAUCCGCGAUUGACGCUGAUGCACGAAAGCGUGGGUAUCAAACAGGAUUAGAUACCCCUGUAGUC